rfam:Daphnia pulex DAPPTscaffold_1_Cont48, whole genome shotgun sequence.
AUGGCUUCUGAUACGGCCAAAUAUCAGCAGGUAAUUCUGGGCAGUUAUUAUCCUUGGACUUGAUUAAAAUACAAGGAAGAACCCAGACUGCCGGCUGGUAUCAGGCCGUGAGAAUGC